rnacentral:rRNA from 1 species
GACGAACGCUGGCGGCGUGCUUAACACAUGCAAGUCGAGCGGUAAGGCCCUUUCGGGGGUACACGAGCGGCGAACGGGUGAGUAACACGUGGGUGACCUGCCCUCAGCUCUGGGAUAAGCCUGGGAAACCGGGUCUAAUACCGGAUAUGACUCCAUGACGCAUGUUGUGGGGUGAAAGCCUUGUGCGGCUGAGGAUGGGCCCGCGGCCUAUCAGCUUGUUGGUGGGGUGANGGCCUACCAAGGCGACGACGGGUAGCCGGCCUGAGAGGGCGACCGGCCACACUGGGACUGAGACACGGCCCAGACUCCUACGGGAGGCAGCAGUGGGGAAUCUUGCGCAAUGGGCGAAAGCCUGACGCAGCGACGCCGCGUGA